GUAGCAGAAUAGUUUGUUCUUUAAUUGGGAGUUGGUAUGAAGGGUUACACAAAAAAUAUCUUUUGGAUUAAAUUAAGUAAAUUAAAAUUUAAGUUAAAAUGCUUGAAUAUUAUAAAGGGACGAUAAGACCCUAAAAGCUUAAUUUAUUUUGAUUAAAUUAAAUAUAUUGUAAAGUUAUAUAAAUGAUAGAAUUAGCUGGGGAAGUGGUUUUAUACAAUUAAAGCGAAAGAUAAUUGACAUUUAAGGUUAAAGGUCUUUAAAAUAAGAAUUGACGGAGUAAGUUACUUUAGGGAUAACAGCGCAAUGGUUUUGGAGAGUUCUUAUUUAUAAAAUUAUGUGCGACCUCGAUGUUGAAUUAAAAAGUCUUAAGGGGGUAGAAAAUCUAUAAGAGGGUUUGUUCAACCUUUAAAUUUUU
rnacentral:rRNA from 1 species